rnacentral:rRNA from 1 species
ACAUGCAAGUCGAGCGAGAAAAGGGGGGCAACUCCCUGAGUAAAGCGGCGCACGGGUGAGUAACACGUGGGUAAUCUGCCCUGGAGUGGGGAAUAACACCGGGAAACCGGUGCUAAUACCGCAUACGAUAGCGGGAUCUGCGGAUUUCGUUAUGAAAGGAGCAAUUCGCUCUAGGAGGAGCCCGCGGCUGAUUAGCUAGUUGGUGAGGUAAUGGCUCACCAAGGCUACGAUCAGUAUCCGGUCUGAGAGGACGGUCGGACACACUGGAACUGAGACACGGUCCAGACUCCUACGGGAGGCAGCAGUGGGGAAUUUUUGGCAAUGGGGGCAACCCUGACCAAGCAACGCCGCGUGGGUGAUGAAGUCUCUUGGGACGUAAAACCCUUUCGACGGGGAAGAAACCGCAAGGUUGACGGUACCCGUAGAAGAAGCCCCGGCUAACUCCGUGCCAGCAGCCGCGGUAAUACGGGGGGGGCAAGCGUUGUUCGGAAUUACUGGGCGUAAAGGGUGCGUAGGCGGUCUGUUAAGUUGGAUGUGAAAACUCUGGGCUCAACCCAGAGCCUGCAUCCAAAACUGGCAGGCUAGAGUUCUGGAGGGGGUAGCGGAAUUCCUGGUGUAGCGGUGAAAUGCGUAGAUAUCAGGAGGAACACCGGUGGCGAAGGCGGCUACCUGGACAGAAACUGACGCUGAGGCACGAAA